ACACUGACGUCGCGACGCAUAUCAAUAAGCGGAGGAAAAGAAACUAACAAGGAUUCCCUUAGUAACGGCGAGUGAAGCGGGAAGAGCUCAAAUUUGAAAUCUUCAAGGUUCUACCUUGACGAAUUGUAGUUUAAAGAAGUGUUUUCUGUUAGUGGAGUUGGCUAAAAGUUCUUUGGAAUAGGACAUCAUAGAGGGUGAGAAUCCCGUAUUUGGUCAUUCCUUCUAGCUUUGUGAUACACUUUCAAAGAGUCGGAUUGUUUGGGAAUGCAGUCCAAAAUGGGUGGUAAAUUUCAUCUAAAGCUAAAUAUUGGCGAGAGACCGAUAGCGAACAAGUACCGUGAGGGAAAGAUGAAAAGAACUUUGAAAAGAGAGUUAAACAGUACGUGAAAUUGUCAAAAGGGAAGCGUUUGACACCAGUGUUGUUUUUCCGAAAAUCAAUUACGAAUGGCUUGAUUUUGUGUUGUAUUGACCUUAUCAGCUUUCUUCACUUUUUUCGAGUCUUUCUUAAUGCACUUUUCGGUUAACAAGUCAACAUCAAUUUCUUUUGUUGUAAAAGAGUAUUCGGAAGGUGGCUUUCUUUUCGGAGAAAGUGUUUAUAGCCCUAUACUUCUACAAUCGGAGAGAUUGAGGUCUGCAGCGUAGAUCCUUCGGGGUUAGAUACACUUGUGCUAAGUUAUAGCUUUUCAUAGACAACUUGUUGACUAUGUUUAGUCAUGUCGCUUACUCGCUUGUGCUAUUUUACCUACGCUUAGGAUGUUGAGUCGUAGAGCACGCAG
rnacentral:rRNA from 1 species